rnacentral:ncRNA from 1 species
GCGGGGAGCUUGUGUGACAGGCUGAGAGGAAGGAUAGAAACCUUCGACCCAUAACCUGAUUUGGAUAAUGCCAACGUAGGGAUGCCUGAAUA